rnacentral:misc_RNA from 1 species
UUUCCGUAGGUGAACCUGCGGAAGGAUCAUUACAAGAGUAUUUUCAGUUUGGCUAUAUGCCCUCUGAAAAAUCUCCACCCUUUGUUUACAUUACCUUUUGUUGUUGCCUUGGUGGGUGCCACCAUACACCUGCCGGCAGACACCUUUAAAACCCUUGAUUAAAUACUAUAGUCAGAGCUGUAACAAGCAAAAGAUUAAUAAAUCAAAACUUUCAACAACGGAUCUCUUGGUUCUGGCAUCGAUGAAGAACGCAGC